UACGUAGGUGGCGAGCGUUGUCCGGAAUUACUGGGUGUAAAGGGCGUGUAGGCGGGGAAACAAGUCAGAUGUGAAAUUCCAGGGCUCAACUCUGGCGCUGCAUCUGAAACUGUAUCUCUUGAGUGCUGGAGAGGAAAGCGGAAUUCCUAGUGUAGCGGUGAAAUGCGUAGAUAUUAGGAGGAACACCAGUGGCGAAGGCGGCUUUCUGGACAGUAACUGACGCUGGGGCGCGAAAGCGUGGGGAGCAAACAGG
rnacentral:rRNA from 1 species